rnacentral:tRNA from 1 species
CAAGACUUAGUUUAAUAAAAAAUUUGGGCUUUGGAAGUUUAAGAUAGCUUUGGUUAGUUUUGA